rnacentral:rRNA from 1 species
GACGUAGGAGGCGAGCGUUGUCCGGAUUCAUUGGGCGUAAAGAGCACGCAGGCGGUUUGGCAAGUCGGAUGUGAAAACCCGGAGCUCAACUCCGGACCUGCAUCCGAAACUGCCCGACUAGAGGUAGGUAGGGGAGAUCGGAAUUCCUGGUGUAGCGGUGAAAUGCGCAGGAUAUCAGGAGGAACACCGGUGGCGAAGGCGGUGGUCUGGGCCGGAACUGACGCUGAGGAGCGAAAGCGUGGGGAGCGAACAGG